AUCAGCAAUCACCGAAGUGAAGCAUCAUUGGGAGCGGUCAGUACUUGGGUGGGUGACCACCUGGGAACACCGCGUGCCGUUG